rnacentral:rRNA from 1 species
UACAGAGGGUGCAAGCGUUGUUCGGAAUUAUUGGGCGUAAAGCGCGUGUAGGCGGCUUUGCAAGUCGGGUGUGAAAGCCCUCAGCUCAACUGAGGAAGUGCGCCCGAAACUGCAGAGCUUGAGUGCCGGAGAGGGUGGCGGAAUUCCCCAAGUAGAGGUGAAAUUCGUAGAUAUGGGGAGGAACACCUGUGGCGAAAGCGGCUCUCUGGACCGUAACUGACGCUGAGACACGAAAGCGUGGGGAGCAAACAGG